rnacentral:rRNA from 1 species
CAACAGGGAUUGCCCUAGUAACGGCGAGUGAAGCGGCAACAGCUCAAAUUUGAAAGCUAGCCUUCGGGUUCGCAUUGUAAUUUGUAGAGGAUGAUUUGGGGAAGCCGCCUGUCUAAGUUCCUUGGAACAGGACGUCAUAGAGGGUGAGAAUCCCGUAUGUGACAGGAAAUGGCACCCUAUGUAAAUCUCCUUCGACGAGUCGAGUUGUUUGGGAAUGCAGCUCUAAAUGGGAGGUAAAUUUCUUCUAAAGCUAAAUAUUGGCGAGAGACCGAUAGCGCACAAGUAGAGUGAUCGAAAGAUGAAAAGCACUUUGGAAAGAGAGUUAAAAAGCACGUGAAAUUGUUGAAAGGGAAGCGCUUGCAAUCAGACUUGUUUAAACUGUUCGGCCGGUCUUCUGACCGGUUUACUCAGUUUGGACAGGCCAGCAUCAGUUUCGGCGGCCGGAUAAAGGCUCUGGGAAUGUGGCCUCCACUUCGGUGGAGGUGUUAUAGCCCAGGGUGUAAUACGGCCAGCCGGGACUGAGGUCCGCGCUUCGGCUAGGAUGCUGGCGUAAUGGUUGUAAGC